GCAAUAACUCAGAGCAUGAGAGUGGUAGAUAUUCUUGUUAUGAAUCAGAUGAUCAAUGCGGAUCAGCAACUGCAGAUGAUGGGAAGGAAUUUAAUAUCAGCUUGGUUGGUUUAUUUCACAAAGCUGGGCCCUCUGAUUCUGUUCAAAAUGGAGAUGCAAAAGAGUCAGAAAAAGAGGGACAGGAGAACUAUGAGGUUCAGUUGUCUAGUGCAAAUGAGUCUGGUGACUGUUCACCUCGUACUUCUCCUUGUAUUGUAAAAUCAAGUUCAUUGCCUAACAUUCAUUCCCCAGGUCGACAAUUUAGCCUCAACUGCCAUCGCUCCAGAUCUGCUGAGGACUUGAAUAUUUUAGAUGCAAGACGGAAAGAACAUUUUGUGGAUGAGGUAGCAAACAAGG
rnacentral:misc_RNA from 1 species